CAGGUUAGAGCUUGAUAUAAGUAUUUUAUUUACAUUAAAAAGAUAAUUAGUUUAAUCUAUUUAACUUGA
rnacentral:tRNA from 1 species